rnacentral:rRNA from 1 species
AGCGAACGCUGGCGGCAGGCCUAACACAUGCAAGUCGAACGAACCUUUCGGGGUUAGUGGCGGACGGGUGAGUAACACGUGGGAACGUGCCUUUAGGUUCGGAAUAACUCAGGGAAACUUGUGCUAAUACCGAAUGUGCCCUUCGGGGGAAAGAUUAAUCGCCUUUAGAGCGGCCCGCGUCUGAUUAGCUAGUUGGUUGAGGUAAUGGCUCACCAAGGCGACGAUCAGUAGCUGGUCUGAGAGGAUGAUCAGCCACAUUGGGACUGAGACACGGCCCAAACUCCUACGGGAGGCAGUAGUGGGGAAUCUUGCGCAAUGGGCGAAAGCCUGACGCAGCCAUGCCGCGUGAAUGAUGAAGGUCUUAGGAUUGUAAAAUUCUUUCACCGGGGACGAUAAUGACGGUACCCGGAGAAGAAGCCCCGGCUAACUUCGUG